CUUGCCCCUAGAGACAUUGCAGACGUAGCUGCUGUGUCACAUAUGUGUCAAUAGGUGGCAGAGAGGAGAGAGGCUAUCUGCUCUCAGUGUUCUGACCUACAGACAUCUGAAUGAUUAGCAGCCUAACACU